rnacentral:rRNA from 1 species
AGUGAACGCUGGCGGCGUGCUUAACACAUGCAAGUCGAACGAGAAAGGGUUAUAGUUUACUAUAAUUGACAGCUAAGUGGCGCACGGGUGAGUAAUGUAUAGGUAAUAUGCCUUUUACUAAGGGAUAACAAUUGGAAACGGUUGCUAAUACCUUAUAUUCCUUAUUAACAUGAAGUUAAUAAGGGAAAGAUUUAUCGGUAAGAGAUUAGCCUGUAUUGUAUCAGUUAGUUGGUGGGGUAAUGGCCUACCAGGACAAUGACGCAUAACUGGUUUGAGAGGAUGAUCAGUCACACUGGAACUGGGACACGGUCCAGACUCCUACGGGAGGCAGCAGUGGGGAAUAUUGCACAAUGGACGGAAGUCUGAUGCAGCAACGCCGCGUGGAGGAUGACACAUUUCGGUGCGUAAACUCCUUUUAUAUGAGAAGAUAAUGACGGUAUUAUAUGAAUAAGCACCGGCUAACUCCGUGCCAGCAGCCGCCGUAA